GGUGAAUCUUCACGGAAUCUAUGGUGGCGCGCACAAGUGCUGGAGCAUGUGGUGUAAUUUGAUGACACGCGAGGAACUCUACCUAGGCUAGAAUGCGCGUGACCGGCUCAGAGAUGAGCCUUUCCUUCGGGACACAAAGCAAGGUGCUGCAUGGCCGUCGUCAGCUCGUGCCGUGAGGUGUUGGGUUAAGUCCCGCAACGAGCGCAACCCCUAUGUUUAGUUGCCAGCAUGUAAUGAUGGGGACUCUAGACAGACUGCCUGCGCAAGCAGUGAGGAAGGCGGGGACGACGUCAGGUCAUCAUGGCCCUUACGCCUAGGGCGACACACGUGCUACAAUGGACGGUACAGCGGGUAGCUACACAGCGAUGUGAUGCCAAUCUCGAAAAGCCGUUCUCAGUUCGGAUUGGAGUCUGCAACUCGACUCCAUGAAGCUGGAAUCACUAGUAAUCGCGCAUCAGCCAUGGCGCGGUGAAUACGUUCCCGGGCCUUGUACACACCGCCCGUCAAGCCAUGAAAGUCUGGUAGACCUGAAGCUGGUGCUCCGCAACGAAGCCAGUUAGGGAGACACAUGAGUUGCCUCUC
rnacentral:rRNA from 1 species